rnacentral:lncRNA from 1 species
GGGCUACACCUGUGGCAUAUGGAAGUUUCCAGGCUAGGGGGUCCAAUCGGAGCUGUAGCCACUGGCCUACCCCACAGCCACAGCAACACAGGAUCUGAGACCCAUCUGUGACCUACAGCACAGCUCAAGGCAACGCUGGAUCCUCAACCCAAUGAUCAUGGCUAGGGAUCGAACCUGCAUCCUCAUGAAUCCUAGUCGGGUUCAUCAACCACUGAGCCACAAAGGGAACUCCCUUAAAGUCAUUAGGAAAUGUAGAGCUCUUGCAUUUGUUUAAAAAUAAUCCAGUGUUUGUGGGAAAAGGAUGGUACAGCAAAUAAAUAAGUUGACCAUGUGCUGCUAAUUACCAAAGGCAGGUGGUGAGCGCAGGGGGUUGAUUAUGUUAUUCUGCCUACUUUUGAGUAUGUCUGCAAUUUUUGAUUUAAAACACUUUAAACAUCUAGUGGAUGGCAUUUCUUUAAUUAAGAUGUUAUUAGUAACAUAUUAGUUCGCAUUCGAUGCCUGUUUUAACUACCUCCUUUCCACAUCCUUAAUUCCUAAUCAUAUGUAAAGUCUUUCUGGGUUUUUGUUACAUUUUCCAGGUUGUCCUUUACUUUUCUCCUUUCAGCUCUUCCUUAAUAGCAACUUUCACAGAAUCAACUUAUGUAACAUGUACGAGUCCAGACCUGAAUAAUUUGAAGAAAAUUAGUUAAGGCUCUGAGUCUGGUCCUUUGUAUUAAACAAUCAUGAAUUUCAGUAAACCUGGCCUGUGGAAGAGAGGCCCCUUCAGGAACAAAUGAAAGAACAAAGUGUAGAGAAAUACCACUUGGUUAAGUUGGUAUAAUAAGUCUGCUUAAUAUUUGACUGAAACAAACAGGACAAAGAAACCAAUUCAACACGGUGAACACAAAGAAAGAGAUGUACAAAAAAAUCUUUAGGGGAAAAAAUUGGAUUUAAUUAUUUUCAUCCUCCCUUUCCCUUUUAAGGCAUUUGGAUUCUUGCUAACUUCAGGGAAGGCUGGCGUCAGGCUCAGUCACGUGAGUGGGGUUCUGGUCUGGAAGUGCUGAGCCUAGUCCUGGCUAGCACAGAAUGUGAAUAGGUUCCAUGCUGACAUUACUUUUAUAGGUUUUAUACAUCAUUUUAUAGAUUUUCCAGUGAGAUUGAGCUCAGGAUGAAGUCAGUCAAAAGAGGAAUUAAGUAUAUAGAAGGCAAUAUUCAACUACGUAGGCAGGAAUGCCCUUUAAAGAAAUUAAUGUCCCUUUCAAUUUCUUAGUAAUGUAUAAAAAUGGAAUAUAGUGUUUCCCUCUGAUCCUAUUAUCUCUAGAACUACUCAUUCUUUUUUGUGAAUAAGACCCCAAAUGGUUUUUCUAGUGAGCAAGAGUGGGCAAAGAACAUGUAUUAAUUACCAACAAAGAACAUAAGCUCUGUAAUCACAGUCUGAUGUGAUAAAUUAUAACUUUGUUCUCCAGAAGCUGACCCAUAAUGGAUGAACUGGGAAAUCUUCUUAAUGCUGAACUAGAAAAAUAAAGGAUCCGGAUGUUUGAGAGUGCAAGCUGUAUAGGGGCUAUGCACAACCAUGCUAUUGUAGAGCUUUCAUUUUCCUUUAGACACAUUUCUUUAAAUUUUAAAUAUAUCAUCUUUUUUUCCUUCCCUUACCAUUAUUAUUUUAAAUUACAGCAUAUUGAUUUAGUGUUGCGCCAAUUUCUGCCGUACAGCAAAGUGACCCAGUCAUACACAUACUUAACAUUCUUUUUUUAAAUAUCAUCCCCAUCACGUUCUAUCCCAAGAGACUAGACACAGUUCCCUGUGCGACACAGCAGGACCUCAUUGCUUAUCUAUUCUAAAUGUAAUAGUUUGCAUCUACUAACCCCAAAUUCCCAGUCCAUCCCACUUCUUCCCUCAUUCCCCUCGGCAACCACAAGUCUGUUCUCUACGUCGGUUUGUGAGUCUGUUUCUAUUCUUCCAAUAGCUUCAUCUGUGGCAUAUUUUAGAUUUCACAUUUAAGUGAUAUCAUAUGGUAUUUGUCUUUCUCUUUCUAGCUUACUUCAUUUAGUAUGAGACUCUCUAUUGAUCCAUGUUGCUGCAAAUGGCAUUAUUUCAUCUUUUUUAUGGUUGAGUAGUAUUCCAUUGUAUAUAUGGACCACAUAUUCUUAAUCCAUUCAUCUGUCAAUGGACACGUAGGUUGUUUCCAUGUUUUGGCUAUUGUGAACAGUGCUGCUAUAAACAUACGGGUACAUGUAUUUUUUUGAAUUGUAGUUUUGUCCAGAUAGAUGCCCAGGAAUGGGAUUGCUGGAUCAUACGUUAGUUCUUUAUUUAGCUUUCUGAGGAAUCUCCAUACUGUUGUCCACAGUGGCUGUACCAAUUUACAUUCCCACCAACAGUGAAGGAGGGUUCCUUUUUCUCCACACCCUCAUCAGCAUUUGUUAUUUGUAGACUUACUGAUGAUGUCCAUUCUGAGGUACAAUGGUACUUCACUGUAGUUUUGAUUUGCAUUUUUCCAAUAAUUAGUGAUGUUUUAAGUGUAUCUUCUUGUGAAACAUUUCACCUUAGGAAUAAAGUACAAAAAUUUAAAAAAGAGUCUGACUCUAGAACAAGGGACAGAAACAUUCCUAGGAUAGAGACAUAUUAUAUCGUUUCUUUACCAAGAUUUUCUACUCUUAAUUAUUCCAAAGGGACUCAGAGGUAGCGAGCAUGAUACACUAGUGUCUUUGUGGGAUGUAGAAAAAGUGUAAUUAUCUUCCUUGCCUGUGGGAAGUUUACAUUAUCUUUUAGGUAAAAAGAUAAUCAUGUAAGUUAGGGAGUUCCUGUUGUGGCACAGCAGAAAUGAAUCUGACUAGUAUCCAUGAAGACCCGGGUUUGAUCCCUGGCCUCACUCAGUGGGUUAAGGAUUUGUCAUUGCUUUGCGCUUUGGUGUAGGUCACAGAUGCAGCUCGGAUCCAGUGUUGCUGUGGCUCUUGUUAUUUCAUUUGCAAAUCAAACAUGCACAGCUUUGGUUUUACUUAUGCCUCCUUAAGAAUAUAAAUAGGCCUAAAGAUAAUUUGACCAUAAACUAGAAAUUAAUUUACUACUGUACAUUCUUCCUUUCUCCUAUGAUUCCACUCCAUUGACCAGUAUAGCACUGAUAAGUGAUGAGAUCACUUUCUGUAUAUUUGCCACAGGGAAGCAUUCAUGUUUCCCUCUCUCGGGAUGGGCUCCAAGGGAAGGAAAAGUGAGAAAAAUAAACGUAGAGUAUAUGGGAUCCAGGAGUUUAGCAAACUGCUGACAAAAUUCAGUGUGCUAACUCUACUGAUGUUCUUGUAAGUUUGCUGAAAUAAAAGUCAAAGCUUUCAGUGAGCUCUUCAUUGAAAGAGGGGGAAGAAACAGAAAGAGCAAAAGAGAUGACACUGAAAAGCUUGAGGAAGCAGAGCAGGCAGGACAGCACCCCUUCUCAACUCCAACUCGGAGCUGCCCCAGCCACAGCACUGCAUUGGCUACUAAACCAAGACUUUCUGCUUCUGAGGUGUGGGAUUCCAUGUGAGAUAUUUUUAAAAGUGAAAGAAAACCAAAAAACCCACAAAGAAGAAAGAAAGAAAGGAUGGAAGAAAAGGAGAGAAAGAGGAGGAAGGAAGGAAGAUAGACAGAAAGACAGAAAGAACCAACCAAACAGGAAGGAGAGAGACAGACAGAAGAACCAACCAAACAGGAACAAAAACAAAAUCACCAAAUACUCCUAUCCCUUUUUUAAUGAAAACUGCAGAAAACUACUAACCUGAGUCCAUCUGAAAUCAACUUGUAUUUAUUGGGCAGCUAUUCUGUGCCAGGUUUGGGGACAACAGCAGAAACCAAGUAAACAGUCUCUGUAUUCAUGGGUUACUUCAGAUAUUUCCUACAAACUAGGCCUGAUAUUAUUUCAUAGCUAUAAUUCAGAUUCAGCUGUACUAAAAUCAAGAUACUCCUAAUAUUUUACUGAAACCUGAAU